rnacentral:rRNA from 1 species
CCUACGGGUGGCAGCAGUGGGGGAUAUUGCACAAUGGGGGAAACCCUGAUGCAGCGACGCCGCGUGUGGGAAGACGGUCCUCUGGAUUGUAAACCACUGUCCCCAGGGACGAAGAUGACGGUACCUGGGGAGGAAGCUCCGGCUAACUACGUGCCAGCAGCCGCGGUAAUACGUAGGGAGCGAGCGUUGUCCGGAAUUACUGGGUGUAAAGGGAGCGUAGGCGGGACUGCAAGUUGGGUGUCAAAUCUACCGGCGAAACCGGUAGCCGCGCUCAACGUGGGAACUGCCUUUGAAACUGGCAAGCUGGAGUGUGUGAGAGGAUAGUGGAAUUCCAGGUGUAGGAGUGAAAUGCGUAGAUAUCUGGAGGAACAUCAGUGGCGAAGGCGACUAGCUGGAACAGAACUGACGCUGAGGAGCGAAAGCGUGGGUAGCAAACAGGAUUAGAUACCCCAGUAGUC